rnacentral:rRNA from 1 species
CAGUAGCCGCGGGAAUACGGAGGGUGCAAGCGUUAAUCGGAAUUACUGGGCGUAAAGCGCACGCAGGCGGUCUGACAAGUCAGAUGUGAAAUCCCCGGGCUUAACCUGGGAACUGCAUUUGAAACUGUCAGGCUGGAGUCUUGUAGAGGGGGGUGGAAUUCCAGGUGUAGCGGUGAAAUGCGUAGAGAUCUGGAGGAAUACCGGUGGCGAAGGCGGCCCCCUGGACAAAGACUGACGCUCAGGUGCGAAAGCGUGGGGAGCAAACAGGAUUAGAUACCCCGGUAGUCCCUGUCUCUUAUAU